rnacentral:lncRNA from 1 species
AUUUGAUCAUUGUAGCAUCAUUUUUUUAAUAUUUAUUUUUUAGUUGUAGUUGGACACAGUACCUUUAUUUAUUUUUCUUUUUAUGUGGUGCUGAGGAUCGAACACAGGGCCUCACACGUACUAGGGGAGCACUCUACAGCUGAGCCACCAUCAAACCCUGUAGCAUCAUUUUUAAUAUUAAGAAAAUAUUUGAAAUUGCGUUUCAUAUUCGCUUAUAUGUACCAAUAGUGUUUGCACUGACCUUGUUCUAUUUUUUUUCAAUUUGCACACAAACACAUCUAUUUAUAGUACCUACUCCAAGAAAAUACCAAAAAAUACCUGGGAAGAAAUGAACUUGUGCUUUGUGUGCAUUUUUCUUAUUUUUACAUUUCAUUCCCUGUGCAUUCCUGUUAUUCUUUUACAUGAUCAUCACACUUGGGAAGAGAAUGGAAAAAAAACAGCCAAGUUCCUAGGUGGUAUCAACCAAAAGGAGAGGACAAAUGAUAAGCAAGCUCUGGCUUCUUGCUAGCUUCAUUUUUUUAAGCGUUAGUUUAUGAGGCAGUAAAGAUAAACCAGAAGGGACUUCAAAAACAAGUUUUUCAGAAAGAAUUCACUAGACUUUUGUUAAUUAUGAACUGCAAGCCUCCUGGUCUCUACAUGCUGUUGGGGGUAGGAGGUUCUGAGUUAUAGAAAUCUACUGUCCAGCAUAGCUUCCUUCCUUUGGGGGAUAUUCUUCAUAUAAGCCAAAAAAAAAUCUUCAGUAUUAACUCAAAAUGGGUUUGAUAUUCAUUCACUUUUCAUUGCUUCCUUCAUUUAACAAAACAAAUUUGGGGCCUGCCAGGUGUAGAGUAACUGGGGAUGAUGGUAACUGGGGAUAAUUCAAAGAAGCCUGAUAGAGAUCUUGCCCUCAUAAGAAUGUAGAAUCCUGUAGGUGAGAUAAGGCAUGUAAACAAAUAUAUGCAAGAUCCACGAUAAGUGCCAUAAGAACAGAAUAGAUCAAGUGCUACCUAGUAAUCUUAGACACACAUAAAGCAGCUCAUUUCUCCUGGUAUCCCUGGUGGAGCCGAUGGAAACUCAGAUUUCUUCUUUAAGAAAGAUAAUAAGGCCACAUUGGACUGUUUGAUGACUUUAUCACUUAAAAUGAUAGCUGUAAAGCACUUUGUAAGUUGUGACAAAAUUUGAUCUAAAUAGAUAAUAUUUGCAGCACAAAUACUAACUAUUUAGCUCAAUUUUUUUUGAAAAACAGGUGUUUAUAACUUCUGAGUUUUUCAGCUGAGGGGUUGUUUAUUCAAGAUUCCUGAAAGGCUAUAAAGGAAGAGGCAUAAGGGACAACAGCUACCUUUUGCAAAGGAUUGAACUGUUCUACUGAUGGCAAGUUACCUGGGGACCUGUGCCCUACCUCUUGCUAGGCUUUCUCAAAGAGAUUGGUAGUCUUUGUAGGUGGUGGGCCCAAAAUGUCAAAGAAAGUCUUCUUCCUGGAGUAACCAAG